rnacentral:lncRNA from 10 species
CAAUGAUAACAGCUUACCUCUGAGGAUAGUUGUGAAGUCCCCAGAUAGCAGAUGACUGGUAGGAAGAUGAGGCAAGUUUGCGGUCCAUUGUCAUGGAUAGUGGAGACAACACUGGGCCAGAAGUGGUAAGACCUGAAUCCAAGACUCAGCUCUGCCACUUGCUAAAUGGGACUUUGAAUAAACCAUUUCUCUGCACUUAAGUUCCUUACCAACAAAACGAGGGAAGUGGCCUACAUGCCUAGAUAUCAACAUUUCAUGUCACGUAGAGAUCUAGCAUCACAAGAAUCCAAGUCAUCCUCUGUUGCCUUUAAGAAAUUAGAAUUAAAGGAAUCAGAAUUGAAGUGAAUCUGACUACACUAAGCCUAUCACUUGUGACAGCCAUGGGAAGAUAUCAUUGGUUGCUGAGGAGCAGAAAUAAGCAGAGACCUAUUGUGUUAGGUUAUCAUUCAUUUCAGACAAAAAGCAGAUCAGCAAGUUUUCAUAUUGCACUAUUUUCAAUGGCUGGAGCAUCAACAUUUUACAACAAGAAAAAAAUUAAAAUUCUUCAACAUUUGGAAAAGAAGUGUUUGUAAAACUUUUCACAUCCAUUCACCAUCCGGAAAAGCAAGGUUUUACAGUGAGGCCUGAUGAUGUCUAGAGUCACCAUGCAUCUUGGAAAAUGACCUCCUAUUUAUUUCUUCUACAGGACACCAUGGUGUUCACCUUUCUACAACUUUACACUUGCUGAGGACAUAUUGUGGAAAAUUAAGAGAAAUAUAUAUGGAUGGCCAAGGCUGUA